CUGCACUCCCGGCCCGUCCGCACCAACAUCCCGCCCCACCUCCUAAGCUGCCACAACACCAACAGAACCGGCACAUAUCAAGCUGCUGUGCUGGACAACUCGUGAAGUCGACUUCUACCAGCUAAUAUCUACUUCACUCCGUCUU
rnacentral:lncRNA from 1 species